GGUCCUGUAGCUCAACUGGAUAGAGCAACUGCCUUCUAAGCCGGAGGUUUCAGGUUCCACUCCUUACCGGAUCA
rnacentral:tRNA from 1 species